rnacentral:rRNA from 1 species
CCUACGGGAGGCAGCAGUGAGGAAUAUUGGUCAAUGGACGCAAGUCUGAACCAGCCAUGCCGCGUGCAGGAAGACGGCUCUAUGAGUUGUAAACUGCUUUUGUACGAGGGUAAACGCAGAUACGCGUAUCUGUCUGAAAGUAUCGUACGAAUAAGGAUCGGCUAACUCCGUGCCAGCAGCCGCGGUAAUACGGAGGAUUCAAGCGUUAUCCGGAUUUAUUGGGUUUAAGGGGUGCGUAGGCGGUCGGAUAAGUUAGAGGUGAAAUCCCGAGGCUCAACUUCGGAAUUGCCUCGGAUACUGUUCGGCUGGAGAGUAGUUGCGGUAGGCGGAAUGUAUGGUGUAGCGGUGAAAUGCUUAGAGAUCAUACAGAACACCGAUUGCGAAGGCAGCUUACCAGGCUACUUCUGACGUUGAGGCACGAAAGCGUGGGGAGCAAACAGGAUUAGAUACCCCUGUAGUC